GUGAGUAUUAAAUUUCUUUAUCACUUUUAAAUUAAUUUUGGUGAUUAGCUUAGUAAUUAGAAGCAAAAAUUGCAUUUUUGUGUUUUGAAGGACUAAUUUUUGCUUGUUUUUGGUGUUUUGAACUUGAAACCGACAAUGUAAAUGUAAGAGAACCAUUCUUGUAUCAGAUUGUAAGUACUAAAUUUCUUUACCAUUUUCAUAUAUAACUAUGGUGAUUAGCUUAUUAAUUAACAUCAAAAACUGUAUUUUUGUGUUUCGUAGGACUAAUGUUUGUUUGUUUUAGGGGCUUUUCACCUGAACCCGACAUCGUACAAGAACUAUUUUUGCAUCAGAUUGUGCUUUAAACCUGAACCCGACAUCGCAGAAGAACCAUUCCUGUAUCAGAUUGUGUUUCGAACCUGAAGCCGACAUCGUAGAAGAACCAUUCUUGUAUCAGAUUUUCGACCUUGUCUUGCGCAGCAUAUUCGGCGCUGCCAUUUGAGCAGUACCGUGCCGGUUGCCGGCUUCAAGUGCGUCCGCACGUUACGUUAGUCAGUCGAUGGUACGCAGUUGUGUUGAGUGCACGUGUUCUUUUUCUCUGUCCAUCUUCAUCGCGACUGGUAGCAAUUCAGUACGGUACAAGCAUUAGAAUCGUUUGCCAUCGACUACUAAGUGAUUUAUCACGAAUCGACUCCACAAUUAAGAGACUUUUCCAUUUGCGCGUGUGAAUGCCAUUGGCCACCGGCCGUCGGAUCUCUUUCGUGGGGCUACGGAUUCUAAUUGGAUUUACUGGUCAAAAUUAUUCAAUUGUUAAUUCGUGCGGAUAAAUCACGCGUUUUCUCAAUGUGGUAUUGUUGCCAGUGCAAAAGUUAACAGGGAGUAGUAACAUCAAUUUUACUCUGUGCGCUUAGGUACUUCAUAAAUGGAACCAGAAGAAUGUAACAUCAAAUAAAAAUGUUGUCUGUUAAAUUUUACAGAUAAUAAUACCUGUACUCUGUUCAGUAAAUAAAGGAUAAUUUAAUUUUAA